rnacentral:rRNA from 1 species
GACGAACGCUGGCGGCGUGCUUAACACAUGCAAGUCGAACGGAAAGGCCCUGCUUUUGGGGGGUGCUCGAGUGGCGAACGGGUGAGUAACACGUGAGUAACCUGCCCUUGACUUUGGGAUAACUUCAGGAAACUGGGGCUAAUACCGGAUAGGAGCUCCUGCUGCAUGGUGGGGGUUGGAAAGUUUCGGCGGUUGGGGAUGGACUCGCGGCUUAUCAGCUUGUUGGUGGGGUAGUGGCUUACCAAGGCUUUGACGGGUAGCCGGCCUGAGAGGGUGACCGGCCACAUUGGGACUGAGAUACGGCCCAGACUCCUACGGGAGGCAGCAGUGGGGAAUAUUGCACAAUGGGCGGAAGCCUGAUGCAGCAACGCCGCGUGCGGGAUGACGGCCUUCGGGUUGUAAACCGCUUUCGCCUGUGACGAAGCGUGAGUGACGGUAAUGGGUAAAGAAGCACCGGCUAACUACGUGCCAGCAGCCGCGGUGAUACGUAGGGUGCGGGCGUUGUCCGGAUUUAUUGGGCGUAAAGGGCUCGUAGGUGGUUGAUCGCGUCGGAAGUGUAAUCUUGGGGCUUAACCCUGAGCGUGCUUUCGAUACGGGUUGACUUGAGGAAGGUAGGGGAGAAUGGAAUUCCUGGUGGAGCGGUGGAAUGCGCAGAUAUCAGGAGGAACACCAGUGGCGAAGGCGGUUCUCUGGGCCUUUCCUGACGCUGAGGAGCGAAAGCGUGGGGAGCGAACAGGCUUAGAUACCCUGGUAGUCCACGCUGUAAACGGUGGGUACUAGGUGUGGGGUCCAUUCCACGGGUUCCGUGCCGUAGCUAACGCUUUAAGUACCCCGCCUGGGGAGUACGGCCGCAAGGCUAAAACUCAAAGGAAUUGACGGGGCCCCGCACAAGCGGCGGAGCAUGCGGAUUAAUUCGAUGCAACGCGUAGAACCUUACCUGGGUUUGACAUGGAUCGGGAGUGCUCAGAGAUGGGUGUGCCUCUUUUGGGGUCGGUUCACAGGUGGUGCAUGGCUGUCGUCAGCUCGUGUCGUGAGAUGUUGGGUUAAGUCCCGCAACGAGCGCAACCCUUGUUCACUGUUGCCAGCACGUUAUGGUGGGGACUCAGUGGAGACCGCCGGGGUCAACUCGGAGGAAGGUGGGGAUGGCGUCAAGUCAUCAUGCCCCUUAUGUCCAGGGCUUCACGCAUGCUACAAUGGCUGGUACAGAGAGUGGCGAGCCUGUGAGGGUGAGCGAAUCUCGGAAAGCCGGUCUCAGUUCGGAUUGGGGUCUGCAACUCGACCUCAUGAAGUCGGAGUCGCUAGUAAUCGCAGAUCAGCAACGCUGCGGUGAAUACGUUCCCGGGGCU